UGAGGAGCUAAAUCUUCAGCUGGUUAAAGAAGGAACAAAUUCAACUGAUGCAGAGUGUGGAGGAAAAAAUAUAAAUGUGGCUGGAGGUGUUGAGAUUCCUGCUGUAUUAGUGGUGUGUGUGGGAAUAGCUGUGGCUUUUUAUGUUGUCUGGAAGAAAUAAUACAUUAAAUGUGGAAAACAAAGAAAUACAGAAAAUGGAGAAGAUUCCACAGAUCACAGAAAGGGCCCCACACUUCCUCCAGAGGAUUUACCACUGGGGGCCGGGGAUGUGGAAGGAAAUGGAGGAUCAGUAAAGACAGCAGGUGAGAGAGGAGCUCAGACCUUACAGCUGGAUGCAGCAUCACAACGUUGUUGGACUGUUGAACCGUCUGUUAUCAAGACUUUCUCACAGCAGACUUGUUCAUAGAUGCAGAAACAUCUAACUUCCUGCACAGUGAACACCUGUGUGGUUUUAUGGAGCUAUAACUGUAAAUGUAGUAAAACGUCUCUGAAAGCAGGAAGAUGGUGGAGGUUAAAAAACUCCAACUCUGUUUAAGAAACUGAAUC